ensembl:lncRNA
CAUUUCUGGUGCAGUUGGUCAGGAUUUUGGUGUCAGUUUUUCAACUUUUACAUUAAUUUAUAAAAUCAAAAUAAUGCGUGUCGACUGACAAAAAAUGCACAACCUAGAAGGUGAGAAUUAUGUUAUAUUCAGCGGACUUUCUAAGGACUCACGCGCCGGAAGACAGCCUCUCAGCUCGAGGGACUGCUCCUAAGAGCCCUCUUGGCGCCCUCUCAGUAGACUUCCCGCUGCUAAUUUCUGCCUUGUAAAACACACUUAUCUGCGUGCUUCUUUUGGAUGAUGAUGUGCCAACCAUUUGUCACUGGGCAGAAGCUGGUACCUGGAUGUUUCUGGUUGGAGGAUUCAGACAGCAGCAUUCCCUGCCUCCCACAACCCACUACAGGCUCCUUUGUAAUCUCUGAAUUUGCACGUGGGCGUAGAGGUGCCUCUUGAGAAAAUCCGCCCCCGCCCCAGAUUUCACAUGAAGAAGUCGCCGGAGUUGGGAGGGAUUUAGAGACAUCAAAUAAAAUAUUUCUCAGAUUCAAG